UUAAUCUGUGCGCUCUUCCUAGCGGAGACCGGUUCUUAUCUGUCCAAGUUCUGUGUCUUCAGGGGCCACUUGGUACAGGAAUUGGAUUCCCAGCCCAGGGCUACUAUGGACCAUUUGAGGCAGAUUGGGGAUGAACAGAAUCAUCUAUAGAAGAAAGCUAAGCCUCAGAAGCUUGGUAGAGCACGUAGGAGGAUUGAUUUGUGAGAGGUGGCCUGGAAUAGUGGAAUGAACAAAAGCUUUGGAGCCAGUAGACCUAUGCUCAAAUCCCAGCUGUGCUGCUUGGACUCUGACUCUGGACAUUGAUGACAGUAAAGUCCUUAAAUCACAAAGAGCUCACAAAGAUGUCUUCAGAAUCAAUGAAGGAAAAGGGAGCUUCAGAUGCUGGAACUCUGCACUUUGCCAGGUUUGGGAGAGGAGGAUGAGAGAGCGGGAGGUUAUCAGCUCCUGAAGGGAAGGAAAACGGGCUGAGUUUACAGGUGCUGACUGGAGCAAAAAAACGGAAAAUGGCAGCAUGGGGAGCUGGCCCCAGCCUGAGAAGCAGGCAGUGAACUACCACAGAGAGGACCCAUCGCCAACUCCCAAGUUCUGCAACAAGGGAUGCAGAAACCCUCAGUGGCUGCCCUAUUCCUACUAGCCUACAUCUAAUCUCCACAGCCUGGAAUUCAAGUUCGUUCAUGAGAUGAUUCUAACCUCUGACUUCAGAUAAAGCCGUUUACAGGCCUGUCCUCUACCCCGUUACGCCAUGCGUCCCUCACUGCGGGCAAGCUGGACUACUGAGUGUAUGGCUCUUGGUUCUACAGGCUGGAGGAACUUGUUUGCUAGGGAAAUGCCGAGCUUAGCUUCAGGAGAGCUUCAGAAUGAGAGAGCCAAAGAACUGCACGGCCAGGAGGGACCUUUGCAAACACUCUGGUCAGAGGUGGGAAACGAACACUGCAUUCUUGAGCAGACCUGAAGACCAGAUGCAGUGGUGGUGAGGGAUACAGCCCUUGGGACAGCUACCCCAUUCAGCCAAAAGGGCAUAUACUGGCUGCAUUUGUAACACGCUCAGUUCAUGAGCUCAUCCUCACACAGAGAAGGUGACAACAAAAACUGAUGGUCCAGGAAAAACAAGACAAAGACAGAGCUAAUAUUUUUUUGAGCAUCAAACUAUUGAAUUUAAGGCUUUUCAUGUACUGCCAUUUCCCGAAGCAGGGAGGGUCCUGCUUGUGCUCCCAGUAUGCCCUGGACUGACUUCCCCCGCCCAAGUCACGCUGUGUUGUCACCACCGAUUUCCAUGUCAGUCUUUCUCAAGAGACCAUGAGCCUCUUAAGGCUAUGUGAUUUUGCAAAUAUGGUGCUUGACCCAUGAAUGAAUGAAUGUCUAUGCGAAGCGCAUACACAUUUUUUUACCACCAGAUGGCAAACAUUCUUUGGAAAGUCUAGCUGUAAACUAUCUCAGAAAGAGUCUGGUGAACACUAAGUUUUUCAGGAAACUGGAUGAGUACCAUCCAACAACCUGAGAUUUUCAGGGCUGCCUAAGCUUCUUGUCUUUUAGCAGAGAGAAGAGAAAGCACCAGAACAGAAGUCAGGAGUUCUGGGGUAUGGAUCUGUGCUGCCAUUUACAUUUGGGCGAGUCACAUAUAUUUUCCAGGCCUUGGUUUUCUCAUUUCAAAAAAACCUGUGGACUGUGGUCAACACGUGUGAGCAUCUAUGCUAUCCCAGACCCUGACUCAGGUUCUGGGGUGUAAAGAAAUGGCUCAGGGGCACCUGGGUGGCUCAGAUGGUUAAGCGUCUGCCUUCGGCUCAGGUCACGAUCCCGGGGUCCUGGGAUCGAGUCCCACGUAGGGCUCCCAGCUCAACAGGGAGCCUGCUUCUCC